UACGGGGGGAGCAAGCGUUGUUCGGAUUUACUGGGCGUAAAGGGCGCGUAGGCGGUCGUGACAAGUCACUUGUGAAAUCUUCGGGCUUAACUCGGAACGGUCAAGUGAUACUGUCGGACUAGAGUACAGAAGGGGCAACUGGAAUUCUCGGUGUAGCGGUGAAAUGCGUAGAUAUCGAGAGGAACACCUGCGGCGAAGGCGGGUUGCUGGGCUGAUACUGACGCUGAGGCGCGAAAGCCAGGGGAGCGAACGGG
rnacentral:rRNA from 1 species